rnacentral:snRNA from 1 species
GUUCUUACCUGGCAGGGUAGACACCAUGAUUAGGUAGGUGGCUUUCCCAAGGGCAAGGAUCAUCCCUUGCACUCUGGGUGUGCUGACCCUUGCUGUUUCCCUAAAUGUGGGAAACUUGACUGUGUGAUUUGUAGUAGUGAGGGACUGCAUUCGCACUCUUCGA